AAAACCAGAGCAUUCUAGAUUACCAUAAUGCCUUCCAUUUUUGCAUACAAUUUUCCAAUGCUGUCCCAGAACGUAACACAUGCACCAAUUAAUCAUUACGGAGUUUCACUGAUUUCAUGGACUCAUCUCCUAGCAUAAACACUUCUAAUGUCGAAAUACAGCUCCCACCCACAUGCCCAUUAAUCUGUAGUCAAUUCCUCUGUAAUACAUUCCUCAUAGAUUCCACUGACGGCAACCAUGAUAAAUUAAACUUUUUAGACCCAAACGACUUUGUCCGAAAGCUGACGGAGUCUCCUGUCAAAGCAUCGCGAUGAGCUCAACCCAAUCGUUCUUCUUGACGCAGUAUUCCUACAUAUUCAAGAAACAUGCUUAUGACAAUUUUGAGAAAAUAUUGUUGAUAGUAGAAAGAUAUACAGAUGCAGGCGAUCAACCUAAUCACAAAAUGUAUGGCUAAAACUUGACAUCACAAAAUUGCAAGAGAGGCUAACCAUGGCUGAAACCUAUUGAUCAGCUUGUUCCUUUGAUCCCAGUCUGAAACAGGGAUCAUUAUAUGAACUUUGCAGCGGUUAUCAUAAUAUGAUAGUACCACUAAG
rnacentral:lncRNA from 1 species